UGGGGAAUAUUGCACAAUGGGGGAAACCCUGAUGCAGCGACGCCGCGUGAACGAAGAAGGUAUUCGUAUCGUAAAGUUCUGUCCUAUGGGAAGAUAAUGACAGUACCAUAGAAGAAAGCUCCGGCUAAAUACGUGCCAGCAGCCGCGGUAAUACGUAUGGAGCGAGCGUUGUCCGGAAUUAUUGGGCGUAAAGGGUACGCAGGCGGUUUAAUAAGUCGAAUGUUAAAGAUCGGGGCUCAACCCCGCUAAGCAUUGGAAACUGAUAAACUUGAGUAGUGGAGAGGAAAGUGGAAUUCCUAGUGUAGUGGUGAAAUACGUAGAUAUUAGGAGGAAUACCAGUAGCGAAGGCGACUUUCUGGACACAAACUGACGCUGAGGUACGAAAGCGUGGGGAGCAAACAGG
rnacentral:rRNA from 1 species